rnacentral:miRNA from 1 species
GGUGACCAAUCUAUCCUGGUUUGCCAGGGACUGAGGGGGUUCCUGGAUGUAGGACUUUUCUAUUUUAAAACCAGGAUAGUC